rnacentral:rRNA from 1 species
UACGUAGGGCGCAAGCGUUGUCCGGAAUUAUUGGGCGUAAAGGGCGCGUAGGCGGUUUGCACAGUCAGACGUGAAAUCCCUCGGCUUAACCGGGGAACUGCGUCUGAUACUGGAUGGCUUGAGUUUGGGAGAGGGAUGCGGAAUUCCAGGUGUAGCGGUGAAAUGCGUAGAUAUCUGGAGGAACACCGGUGGCGAAGGCGGCAUCCUGGACCAACACUGACGCUGAGUGAGCGAAAGCCAGGGGAGCAAACGGG